UUCUGUCACACACACCACAAGCAUAAGAGUCAGCCUGGCCAGAUGGCACAGUUUUUAAAGGUGCUGAGCUUGGAAUUAUUUUCCAUUGACUUCAAGGAGACCUCCAGAUAUUUAGUAUACUUCAUACAUUUACGUCAAGAGCUAUACUAACAGCUUGAGUGUGGAGAUUUGAAUAUUUACAGCAAUCAAAGAAAUUUUGCAGCAAAUAUAACAAAUCUCUCUUCUCCAGUGUAUUUGCUGUACCCACAGCUAAGGAAGAAACAGCAACAUUCUGAGAAAGAAAGAGAUGUGAGACUUCUGACAAGUUGUACUCUGGUCUGGUUUUGGCUAAUACUUGUAGCAUUACAAUGUAGAAUACAAGAACUACAUAGGAAAAGUUCAUGAUCAUCAUUUAGGGCUCAAAAGUGUCUCAAAAACCAACUAAUGUAGGGAUUAUUUUACAAAAUGACCCUAGAUCAACCUUUCAUGAUAGUAUACCUGAGCUGAAAUUCCAAGAUUCAGCAUUUUUCCUCCAUAACUUAACUGAGCUACAGACACAAAUUGAUAAAAUAACCAUUCACAAACUGCAGAGAACAAGAUCUCAUGGGACUUGUGCAGUCAUUUUCUUUUUAAAUCACUAACAAUCUAAAAGACCAACAAAUGUUGUAAAUAUUUGCAAAGAAGCACUUUUUUAAUGCAGUGUGACAGUGUCAGCUCACAGUUUUAUCUUCUAUUCCUCAGAGAUGGACCCACCUUAAAUAGAGUUAAUACAGCCCCUUCAUCUCUCCCUGAAAAUUUAUCUGAGUUUACAGUCCUAUUAUGCUCUUUACUCAGCAUAUUCCUCUAGCUUAAACAAUAUUUUUACCCUCUUCAGUGCCCUGAAAGUUGUGAGAAUUUCAUUAAUAAUAUACUUUCAUAACAAAUACCUCUACAAAUAACUUUGUGUUACCGCCGAAACAGGCUGAAGGCUAGUAGCAUAAAUAAUGAAAUCUGAGACUAACAAAAAAAAAAAGAUUUGGGACCUACAUUUCCUACAUUUUAGGACUGUUUUAGUGAUCUCACUACUCAGGACACAGGUUCUUCAACAUAAUUUUCUGUGUAAUACAAUUGCAGACAGCAAGAAUUUCCUAUGGAAGCUACUCAAAUGCUCCAAAUUCUUGCUCAUAAUUUUAUCAGCUUUUAUACAAGAAUCGUGUAGAAUCAUAGAAUCAAAGAAUUAUAGAAUGGCUUGGGUUGGAAGGGACUUUAAAGAGCAUCUAGUUCCAAAAGCUCUGCUGUGGGCAGGGUUGCCAGCAGCUAAGUCAGGUACCAGAUUAUGUUUUCCAGGACUCCAUCCAACCUGAAAUUUAAUAUCUUCAGUGAGGGGCAUCCACAGCUUCUCUGGGUGGCCUGUUCCAGUGCCUCACCACCCUGUGAAUAAAAAAUGUGAAUAAAAUCUAAUCUAAAUCUUGCCUCUUUUACUUUAAAACCAUUCCCCCCAUUCCACCAUUAUCAUACUAUGUAAAAGUCACUCUCCCUUUUUAGCAGCUCUCUUUAAAUAAUGGAAGGCUGAAAUGAGGCUUUCCCAGAGCCUUCUGACUUCCUUUUCUUCUCCAGACAGCCCAGCUCCCUCAGCCUUUCUUCACGGGAGAGCUAUUGCAGCCCUCUGAUCAUCUUUGUGGCUUCUUCCGGACCUGCUCCAGCAGCUCCAUAUCUUCCUUCUGUUGGGGGCUUCAAAUUUAGAUACAGUAUUCUAGACAGGGCCUCACAAGGAAACAUAGAGAAAGAUUUAGAGAAUCAUGCUUUCUCAAACUUCUGAUUUGCAACUGCAUCCUGUAGGAAUAUUUAUAAUAAACAGAUUAUGUGAUUUUAAGGAACAUAUAUUCAAUUCUGCCUCUGGAAAUUAGCAGGGAAAAAAUCUGUUGAUAAACAAAAAUAGGACAAGUCUUGUGUUAUAUAUAGCUCCAUAUUAUAAAGAGACUCACUAAAUGCUUACAUCUUUUCAGGCAUCAAAGUGCCUGAACAUUUUUUUAAGAAAAUAGAAAUUAAAAUCAAGUCUAGUCUCUCCUGCUGUAUUAGAUUUAACCAACCUAAAAUCUACAUCUUCUAAAAUUAGAAAAUCCUGAGGUAGCUGAACUUCCAUUUUGAAUAGCAGAUUAAUAACAAAUAUUUCUGAAGUAUUGUUUGAUACUGUUAUGUCUUUCAAGCCAGUAUAUCAAGAGAAAUCCUGCCUAAAAUGUUUCCUGAGCAAGAGAUUCAGUGGUGCAUUUUUUUUUUAAUGUAUAUGAUAUGCAUCUUUGUUUGAUAGAGUAGCAUCAGUAAGACGAAGCUGGAUCUAUACCUUGUCUGGGAAAUUUUCAAAUAAAAAAUGGAACUGAAACAGAAA